ACGAACGCUGGCGGCGUGCUUCACACAUGCAAGUCGCACGGAAAGGCCCUGCUUUUGUGGGGUACUCGAGUGGCGAACGGGUGAGUAACACGUGAGUAACCUGCCCUUGACUUUGGGAUAACUUCAGGAAACUGGGGCUAAUACCGGAUAGGAGCUCCUGCUGCAUGGUGGGGGUUGGAAAGUUUCGGCGGUUGGGGAUGGACUCGCGGCUUAUCAGCUUGUUGGUGGGGUAGUGGCUUACCAAGGCUUUGACGGGUAGCCGGCCUGAGAGGGUGACCGGCCACAUUGGGACUGAGAUACGGCCCAGACUCCUACGGGAGGCAGCAGUGGGGAAUAUUGCACAAUGGGCGGAAGCCUGAUGCAGCAACGCCGCGUGCGGGAUGACGGCCUUCGGGUUGUAAACCGCUUUCGCCUGUGACGAAGCGUGAGUGACGGUAAUGGGGAAAGAAGCACCGGCUAACUACGU
rnacentral:rRNA from 1 species